rnacentral:rRNA from 1 species
CCCUUAGAUGUUCUGGGCCGCACGCGCGCUACACUGUUCGACGCAGCGAGUCUUAACCUUGACCGAAAGGUUUGGGUAAUCUUCAGCAAAGUCGAACGUGAUGGGGAUCGAUCAUUGCAAUUAUUGAUCGUGAACGAGGAAUUCCUAGUAAGUGCAAGUCAUCAGCUUGCGCUGAUUACGUCCCUGCCCUUUGUACACACCGCCCGUCGCUACUACCGAUUGAAUGGUUUAGUGAGAUCUCUGGAUUGACGCUGGCUAGGGGGCGACCCUUGGCCAGGCUGUCGAGAAACUGCUCAAACUUGAUCACUUAGAGGAAGUAAAAGUCGUAACA